UUAGUAAACGUGGACCAGUGUGUAUUUAAGAACUGCCCAAUCUGCAGGUACUUCCUGAGUUUCCAUUGGAAGACAUCUGCCAUCAUGGUAGACAAGUCUUGGUCUGUUUGAAAUUCACAACAGCAUUAAAUACUUUACUGAAAAGUUAAUCUUGUUUUAUUUUUUAUGUAUUCACCUUAUCAAAUAAAACACUUACCAACAUGGUAAAAAAGUGACUUUGCAAGAUUUCACAUUGACAUGAGUGUUUCACAAUGAAAUCUAGUAUCAUUCUUUUGCAGGUAAGGUUUAUACACAUCAUCAUUGCUGUUCACAAAUCAUACACUGCUAAUUCCUUCAAAUAAGACAAAAUUCAAGUGCUGAAAAAAUUUACUUUUGCAUAUAAAAUCCUAUUCUUAAAUACAUUUUGUACAAUGUCUUUUUCCUUGAAUUAUACAUUUGUACACAUAAUUGUACUGUAAACAUAUCAAAUGUUUACAGUAGUUUAAAACAUAAAUCAUAUAUGAUGACCUAAAGUGUAUAUGCAACACUGUGUUAGUAGAGCAAGUAUAGAGUAUGCUUCAGCAAUAUAUGUUUUUAUUACAGAAGAGGGAAAUAUAAUUAGUCAGGGCCUAAGGAAGUAGAAGCGGAUGUGAUGAAUAAGGAAGGGAGGAUACUGCCACACAAAUUACGCAGUGAUACUCAAUGUAUUCUUACGUACUGAAAUUACCAUGCCACAGUAUAGGGGAGAAUAUGGCACUUUACGGAGGCUCAACAUGGCGGUACACAGACUGUCUACAGUUUUGGUAUCCUCACCCAUAUCAGCACAUAAGGUCUUCUUCACAUGACCACAUUUAUUUUGUAGUCUGCAAAAUGCUGAUUUGCAAAAUAUGGAUGAUAUCCGUGUGAUUCAUCCAUUUAUUUAUUUUUGCGGACCCAUGACUUCAAUGGGUUCGUGUACCGAAUUUUGUGGCCAAGAAUAGGAUAUGUUCUAUCUUUUGUGGAAUGAACAUAUGGAUGCAGAAAGCACACCUAUCAUUUGUGUGAUUUCCAUAUCCGUAUGCCCGUUCCGCAAAGAGAUAGAACAUGUCUUUUACUUGAAGUCAUUGAGGUCAAUGAGUCCACAAAAAAAAAUAGAUGCAACACAGAGGUCACAUGGAUGUCAUCCAUAUUUUAUGGAUCCAUGUUUUGCGGACCAAAAAAUACACACAGUCAUGUGCAUGAAGCCUAAGUGUAACGCUGUGUGCGUCUAGUUGCCAUGUUACAUUUGAUGCUAAACCAUCUGAUAGAAUCAAUGUUUUUAGGGAAGAUAACCACCAUAAUGUGAUGCCCUAUACAGCUCCACUUAAAUUUUUUUUUUAUUACAAAUACAUAAGGAAUGUGAGAAAUAAAUAUGGCAUAUAACAUUGCAACAUUGAAUUAUGGAGGUACGGUCCCCUAAAAUACAAUAGUUCCUUUUAGGGAACAUAAAGGGGGUCAUUUAUGAAGAGAUAUACGCCAUUUUGUGGCGUAUAUCUGACACCGAUUCUGUCAUGCCAUGUUGCGGCAGAAUCUGCAACUUUUCCCCCGCUCAACCCAGAUCUAAAAACGGGGGUGUAGCAUGGGCGGAGAAAAGGACGCACCAGCAGGCCCCUUUCAUUCAUCUUUUUCUACGACUGGUUUAGGCAUAGAAAAUGGGUACGUUGUAGUCAUGUAGAGGCCGGCGCCUCUAUAUACCACCAGCUUAGGGGCUUAUUAAGACCGGCUUCUAAAAUGCAGGUCUUAAUAAAUGUGUCCCAAAUUGUCUUAAGGACUUUAGAUUAUGCAAUAAAUUUUCAUUCACUAACUCCAUCUACCUUCCAAUUCCUGCUUUCUGAUGGUGAAAUAUACAUUAAGAAAGGAGAACCAGUAGCAAAGAGUAGCAUAGCAAGACUCUACACAAGUUCUUUGAAUAAACUGAAGCUUCUGGGUAGCUUGCUUUACUAAGAGGGUGUCCUGCAAUGCUACUGGGUGGUGGACCCAGAGCUGAGUCAUUCCCCUCCCAACAGUUUCUGAGGGUUCAAAUGUGUGACCUACAUUAUGACAAGAAAUUGCUCAAAAAACUUAAAUGUAGCCAAAAUAUAAUAAUUACAUUAGAAUAGGGUUAGAAAUAAUAAAAGACUGAAGACAUGUAUACAUUAAUACACCAAAAAACAAGCUUUGGUCCUAUUUAGAAUUUUUUUUUUCUCAUGGCUCCCCUUGCACCAUGUUUUGAUAUAAUUGUAAACAGCUGUGAGAAACUAUUACAUAAAAAGUGAAGUAACGUUCUACAUCAACCACUCAUGAAAAUUAGAUCCUUGUGCCUUUUCAUUGCAUUAGGAAUUAGGAUUUAUUCACAUGCUGAUGAUUUGUUGCAGAAAUGUACCAGUAAAUGACUUGGUAAACACAUGGAUUUCUGCAAGCUCCGUUCAAAUCAAUGGGACAGUUAAAGGAAAAAGUAAGAGAUCAGAUCCUGUCCUAGAAAAUUAGGAAAGCCUGAUAUAUUGGCAAUUGUCAAGUUCUCAUGGAAAGCCUGCCAUAAGCAGAUGGCUUGUUUCAAUGUUGCACAUGUGGUCUGUUCAAUAGGUAAAAUAAUCCUAGAAUGGUUUUGCAAUUUUGCCUUCCCUUCCCUUAACUGAUCAUUUAGUUUUAUCAUCUAUGACCUGAAGUUUUAUUUGUAAAAUUUUUUAAUAAACUCAAUCCAUAAUAUUCCUAAAUUCAGAUACAUUACCACUUAGCACUGGCUUUCUCAGACUACUUUUCAUAUUUCCUGUUCCCG